UACGGGGGGGGCAAGCGUUGUUCGGAAUUACUGGGCGUAAAGGGCUCGUAGGCGGCCAACUAAGUCGGACGUGAAAUCCCCAGGCUCAACCUGGGAACUGCGUCCGAUACUGGAUGGCUUGAAUCCGGGAGAGGGAUGCAGAAUUCCAGGUGUAGCGGUGAAAUGCGUAGAUAUCAGGAAGAACACCCGUGGCUAAGGCGGCUCUCUAGUACGGUACUGACGCUGAGACGCGAAAGCGUGGGGAGCGAACAGG
rnacentral:rRNA from 1 species